rnacentral:rRNA from 1 species
GACGAACGCUGGCGGCGUGCUUAACACAUGCAAGUCGAACGGUGAAGCGCCUUCCUUUUUGGUGGGUGUGGAUGAGUGGCGAACGGGUGAGUAACACGUGAGUAACCUGCCCCCUUCUUCUGGAUAACCGCAUGAAAGUGUGGCUAAUACGGGAUAUUCUGGGUCUGUCGCAUGAUGGGUCUGGGAAAGAUAUUGUUUCGGUGGGGGAUGGGCUCGCGGCCUAUCAGCUUGUUGGUGGGGUGAUGGCCUACCAAGGCGGUGACGGGUAGCCGGCCUGAGAGGGUGGACGGUCACACUGGGACUGAGACACGGCCCAGACUCCUACGGGAGGCAGCAGGGGGGAAUAUUGCACAAUGGGCGCAAGCCUGAUGCAGCGACGCCGCGUGAGGGAUGGAGGCCUUCGGGUUGUGAACCUCUUUCGCCAGUGAAGCAGGCCUGCCUCGUUUGUGGGUGGGUUGACGGUAGCUGGAUAGGAAGCGCCGGCUAACUACGUG